UGUGCAAAAGGAGCAGAUGAGUGUUGGG
rnacentral:piRNA from 1 species